rnacentral:lncRNA from 1 species
AAAUUGCCGGCGGGUUUCAAAAAAAAAAAACUUCAAAAUCGACUUCGAAGCUCAAAAAAGACAUCGAUACUUACCUUAAUGUGUUCUCCUUUCAUAUAUACUACCAUAUUAUUGUCUUAUAACUCAAUUUUAUAAGUUUUGUGAGGUUUUAAUUUCUUUAGUUUUGAGAUUUUUUAAAAGGGUUUGUUGUGAGAUUUUGUAGAAGGGUUUGUUGUGAGGAAGAUUUUUUAAAAGGGUUUUUUGGGAGGGAGAAGAAGGAGGUGGAGGAGGUGAGGGGUUUGUGAGUAAGGAGGGAAAUGGUUUUUUUGAGUUUUUGAUUAUUUGGUAUUUAAGAAAGAAAAAUAGUAUUUGUAAUAUUUUUUUUGUUUUAAUUCAUUAAGGGUAUUAAAGUAAUUUACAAUUAAUUAUUUAUUUUUUAUUUUUUUGGUAUUCAAGUAAGCAAAAGUUGGGAUUUGAAAUAGUGAUCCCC